CGGCGAGUGAAGCGGCAACAGCUCAAAUUUGAAAUCUGGCCCCCAGGGCCCGAGUUGUAAUUUGCAGAGGAUGCUUUUGGCGCGGUGCCUUCCGAGUUCCCUGGAACGGGACGCCAUAGAGGGUGAGAGCCCCGUCUGGUCGGACGCCUAGCCUGUGUAAAGCUCCUUCGACGAGUCGAGUAGUUUGGGAAUGCUGCUCUAAAUGGGAGGUAUAUGUCUUCUAAAGCUAAAUACCGGCCAGAGACCGAUAGCGCACAAGUAGAGUGAUCGAAAGAUGAAAAGCACUUUGAAAAGAGGGUUAAAUAGUACGUGAAAUUGUUGAAAGGGAAGCGCUUGUGACCAGACUUGGGCCCGGUGGAUCAUCCAGCGUUCUCGCUGGUGCACUCCGCCGGGUUCAGGCCAGCAUCAGUUCGCCGCGGGGGAAAAAGGCUUCGGGAACGUGGCUCCUACGGGAGUGUUAUAGCCCGUUGCAUAAUACCCUGGGGCGGACUGAGGUUCGCGCUCCGCAAGGAUGCUGGCGUAAUGGUCAUCAGCGACCCGUCUUGAAACACCGCGAAACACAAAACAACAACCCUUCUAAGGAAACCGUGAACUGACUCGCCCCUCGGUAUUAUGCAACGGGCUAU
rnacentral:rRNA from 1 species